UACUCCCGCCGGCGACCGGCGCACGGGUGAGUAACACGUAUGAAACCUGCCCGUAGCAGGGGGAUAAGCGGAAGAAAUUCCGUCUAAUACCGCGUAACAACCCGAGGAGGCAUCUCCUCGGGUUUAAAGGAAGCGAUUCCGGCUACGGAUGGUCAUGCGUCGCAUUAGCUAGUUGGCGGGGUAACGGCCCACCAAGGCGACGAUGCGUAGGGGUUCUGAGAGGAAGGUCCCCCACACUGGUACUGAGACACGGACCAGACUCCUACGGAAGGCAGCAG
rnacentral:rRNA from 1 species